CAAGCUUACAAAUGCCUAUUGUUUGGUUGCUAUUGGAGGAUCAGAGAACUUCUACAGUGUGUUCGAAUCUGAACUUGCCGAUGUAAUUCCAGUGGUGAAAACCUCGAUUGCAGGCACUAGAAUUAUUGGGCGGAUGUGUGCUGGUAA